rnacentral:rRNA from 1 species
UACGGAGGGUGCAAGCGUUAUCCGGAUUUACUGGGCUUAAAGGGUGCGUAGGUGGGCGAGAAAGUCAGUGGUGAAAUCUCCGGGCUUAACCCGGAAACUGCCAUUGAUACUAUUUGUCUUGAAUACUUUGGAGGUAAGCGGAAUAUGUCAUGUAGCGGUGAAAUGCUUAGAUAUGACAUAGAACACCAAUUGCGCAGGCAGCUUACUAGACAGUAAUUGACACUGAGGCACGAAAGCGUGGGGAGCAAACAGG